rnacentral:rRNA from 1 species
UAGCGGAACUCCUACGGGAGGCAGCAGUGGGGAGUAUUGGACAAUGGGCGAAAGCCUGAUCCAGCCAUGCCGCGUGUGUGAAGAAGGUCUUCGGAUUGUAAAGCACUUUAAGUUGGGAGGAAGGGCAUUAACCUAAUACGUUAGUGUCUUGACGUUACCGACAGAAUAAGCACCGGCUAACUCUGUGCCAGCAGCCGCGGUAAUACAGAGGGUGCAAGCGUUAAUCGGAAUUACUGGGCGUAAAGCGCGCGUAGGUGGUUUGGUAAGUUGAAUGUGAAAUCCCCGGGCUAAACCUGGGAACUGCAUCCAAAACUGGCAAGCUAGAGUAUGGGAGAGGGUAGUGAAAUUUCCUGUGUAGCGGUGAAAUGCGUAGAUAUAGGAAGGAACACCAGUGGCGAAGGCGACUACCUGGACUGAUACUGACACUGAGGUGCGAAAGCGUGGGGAGCAAACAGGAUUAGAAACCCUAGUAGUCCACUUAUG